rnacentral:rRNA from 1 species
AUUGAACGCUGGCGGCAGGCCUAACACAUGCAAGUCGAACGAGUGGCGGAAGGGUGAGUAAUGUCUGGGAAACUGCCUGAUGGAGGGCGAUACCUACUGGAAACGGUAGCUAAUACUGCAUACCAUCAGAUGUGCCCAGAUGGGAUUAGCUAGUUGGUGGGGUAACGGCUCACAAAGUCGCAGAUCCCUCGCUGGUCUGAGAGUAUGACCAGCCACACUGGAACUGAGACACGGUCCAGACUCCUACGGGAGGCAGCAGUGGGGAAUAUUGCACAAUGGGCGCAAGCCUGAUGCAGCCAUGCCGCGUGUAUGAAGAAGGCCUUCGGGUUGUAAAGUACUUUCAGCGGGGAGGCGUUACCCGCAGAAGAAGCACCGGCUAACUCCGUGCCAGCAGCCGCGGUAAUUC